AAAGUCGUAACAAGGUUUCCGUAGGUGAACCUGCGGAAGGAUCAUUACAGAGUUUGUCGCCCUUAUUUGGGGUUGACCUCAAACCCUGUGUUUACUUAACUUUUGUUGCUUUGGCGGUUCGUAAAGCUCUUAAAAAGAACUUUCCACUGGCCUUGGCUAGUGUGUACCCGCCAGAGGAAACCAAAAACCCUUUGAUAUUUUAUUUUGUCGGAGUUAUUAAUUAAUAAUUAAAAACUUUCAACAACGGAUCUCUUGGUUCUG
rnacentral:misc_RNA from 1 species